rnacentral:rRNA from 1 species
AUGCUGAACCUGUGCCGUGUCCUCGCCGCCCGGGGCGGCGUGUCCUCCACCAUCGUCGUCACCGAGGAGUGGCUCGGCCUGCUCGGCGGCGGGCCCGCGCCGUCGGGCGUCCGCCUGGAGGCCAUCCCCAACGUCGCCCCCUCCGAGCACGGCCGCGCCGCCGACAUGGUCGGGUUCGUCGAGGCCGUGUACACCCGGAUGGAGGCUCCCUUCGAGCACCUCCUCGACCGGCUCGGGGCCGCGCCCGCGGCCAUCGUCGCCGACACGUUCGUGCCCUGGGCGGUGCGCGUCGGCGACCGGAGGGGCGUCCCGGUGUGCGUCCUCUCGCCGCUCAGCGUCACCAUGUUCUCCGUGCAGUACCACUUCCACCGCCUGCCCGUGGCCGCCGACGGUACCGCUUCUCCGGUGUCUGACAACUCAGAUGGCAAGGAUUCUUGUCUGAUUGAGAGCUACAUUCCUGGCCUGAAGUCAAUCAGGUUAGCCGAUCUUGAGCCCACACACUCCAACAAGGUAGUGCUGAACCAGGUCCUUGAAGCACAGUGUGUCAUCUUCACCUCCUUCUACGAGCUCGAGAGCGACGCCAUUGACUCCCUAAGGCGAGAGCUCCGCUGCCCCGUGUUCGCCGUUGGCCUUUGCAUCCCCUUCAUGGUACUCCAAGAACACAAUGCCAGUUCUUCACAAGAGCAAGGCUACAUGGCUUGGCUGGACACGCAGCCGGUGAACUCAGUGUUGUAUGUCUCACUCGGCAGCUACCUCUCGGUGUCGUCCGCUCAGCUCGACGAGAUCGCCGUUGGCCUGGCCCAGAGCAAUGUCAGGUUCCUGUGGGUGCUCCGCGAUGCAUGCGCCGGUGUGCGCGAUUUGAUCCGUGGAAGCCACUGUGUGAUCGUCCCGUGGUGUGACCAACUCAAGGUGUUGUGCCAUCCUUCGGUUGGGGGUUCUUCACCCACUGCGGCAUGA